rnacentral:sRNA from 1 species
AGGAAAUUUAAUAAUAAAAACACAUAGUUCACGGAGUCUAGCUCAGUGAAAAAUAAUCUUAAUUUACAAAUCAAUGGUCUCAAGUUCGAAUCCUCACAGCACCUUAGUAAUAUGUGUGUGUGUGUGUGUGUGUGUGUGUGAAACCUCUCUCUCCUU